GAUGAACGCUGGCGGCGUGCUUAACACAUGCAAGUCGAACGGACUUAUGAUGAAGCCUAGCGAUUCAUAAGUUAGUGGCGGACGGGUGAGUAACGCGUGGGUAACCUGCCUUAUACAGGGGGAUAACACCUAGAAAUAGGUGCUAAUACCGCAUAAGCGCACAGUUUCGCAUGAAACAGUGUGGAAAACUCCGGUGGUAUAAGAUGGAACCGCGUCUGAUUAGCUAGUUGGUGAGGUAACGGCCCACCAAGGCGACGAUCAGUAGCCGGCCUGAGAGGGUGAACGGCCACAUUGGGACUGAGACACGGCCCAAACUCCUACGGGAGGCAGCAGUGGGGAAUAUUGCACAAUGGGGGAAACCCUGAUGCAGCGACGCCGCGUGAGUGAAGAAGUAUUUCGGUAUGUAAAGCUCUAUCAGCAAGGAAGAAAAUGACGGUACUUGACUAAGAAGCCCCGGCUAACUACGUGCCAGCCGCCGCCGUAAUAC
rnacentral:rRNA from 1 species